GGAAUAUUGCACAAUGGGCGCAAGCCUGAUGCACCCCUGCCGCGUGUAUGAAGAAGGCCUUCGGGUUGUAAAGUACUUUCAGCGGGGAGGAAGGCGAUAAGGUUAAUAACCUUGUCGAUUAACGUUACCCGCAGAAGGAGCACCGGCCAACUCCGUGCCAGCAGCCGCGGUAAUACGGAGGGUGCAAGCGUUAAUCGGAAUUACUGGGCGUAAAGCGCACGCAGGCGGUCUGUCAAGUCGGAUGUGAAAUCCCCGGGCUCAACCUGGGAACUGCAUUCGAAACUGGCAGGCUGGAGUCUUGUAGAGGGGGGUAGAAUUCCAGGUGUAGCGGUGAAAUGCGUAGAGAUCUGGAGGAAUACCAGUGGCGAAGGCGGCCCCCUGGACAAAGACUGACGCUCAGGUGCGAAAGCGUGGGGAGC
rnacentral:rRNA from 1 species